UUUAUGGAGAGUUUGAUCCUGGCUCAGAGUGAACGCUGGCGGCGUGCCUAACACAUGCAAGUCGUGCGAGAUUUUGCAGAGUAUCGCAAAGUUUAGCGGCAAACGGGUGAGUAAUACGUAGGGAAUCUUCCUCAAAAUGGGGAAUAUCUCCGAGAAAUCGGAGUCAAUACCGCAUAAUACCAUAGCUUGGCAUCAAGCAGGGGUUAAAGCAGUAAUGCGUUUUGAGAUGGCCCUGCGGCCUAUCAGCUAGUUGGUAGGGUAAAGGCCUACCAAGGCUAUGACGGGUAUCCGGCCUGAAAGGGUGAACGGACACACUGGAACUGAGACACGGUCCAGACUCCUACGGGAGGCAGCAGUGGGGAAUUUUGGAC
rnacentral:rRNA from 1 species